AAAAUGCAAUAAAUAGUAUCAAUUAUAAAAUUUAGUAAAUUAUUAAAUCUUUAAACGUAUAUUACGCCCCUUAGUAUUCUAUGGGGUAUACCUAUUUAAGCGUCAUCUACACCCUUAAGCUCUACUUAGUGUUGGGCGUCUAUCCCGCCUUUGCGCGUGGACUUACCCUAAAUAUAUUAGCAAUAGUCCUUACCUCCUCCCGCGUAGUAUAUUACGCUUUUUAAGGCUACAGCGGCCCGCGUCUAAUAAGCUAAACCCCCCCGUCUUUAACCUCGGAUUAGGUAGGGAUACCUGCUGAACUUAAGC
rnacentral:misc_RNA from 1 species